GGAACGUGCGGGCAGGCUAACACAUGCAAGUCGAGCGGUAGCACGGGAGAGCUUGCUCUCUGGGUGACGAGCGGCGGACGGGUGAGUAAUGUCUGGGGAUCUGCCUGAUGGAGGGGGAUAACUACUGGAAACGGUAGCUAAUACCGCAUAACGUCGCAAGACCAAAGAGGGGGACCUUCGGGCCUCUUGCCAUCAGAUGAACCCAGAUGGGAUUAGCUAGUAGGUGGGGUAAUGGCUCACCUAGGCGACGAUCCCUAGCUGGUCUGAGAGGAUGACCAGCCACACUGGAACUGAGACACGGUCCAGACUCCUACGGGAGGCAGCAGUGGGGAAUAUUGCACAAUGGGCGCAAGCCUGAUGCAGCCAUGCCGCGUGUAUGAAGAAGGCCUUCGGGUUGUAAAGUACUUUCAGCGAGGAGGAAGGCGUUAAGGUUAAUAACCUUAGCGAUUGACGUUACUCGCAGAAGAAGCACCGGCUAACUCCGUGCCAGCAGCCGCGGUAAUACGGAGGGUGCAAGCGUUAAUCGGAAUUACUGGGCGUAAAGCGCACGCAGGCGGUUUGUUAAGUCGGAUGUGAAAUCCCCGGGCUCAACCUGGGAACUGCAUUCGAAACUGGCAAGCUUGAGUCUUGUAGAGGGGGGUAGAAUUCCAGGUGUAGCGGUGAAAUGCGUAGAGAUCUGGAGGAAUACCGGUGGCGAAGGCGGCCCCCUGGACAAAGACUGACGCUCAGGUGCGAAAGCGUGGGGAGCAAACAGGAUUAGAUACCCUGGUAGUCCACGCCGUAAACGAUGUCGACUUGGAGGUUGUGCCCUUGAGGCGUGGCUUCCGGAGCUAACGCGUUAAGUCGACCGCCUGGGGAGUACGGCCGCAAGGUUAAAACUCAAAUGAAUUGACGGGGGCCCGCACAAGCGGUGGAGCAUGUGGUUUAAUUCGAUGCAACGCGAAGAACCUUACCUACUCUUGACAUCCAGAGAACUUUCCAGAGAUGGAUUGGUGCCUUCGGGAACUCUGAGACAGGUGCUGCAUGGCUGUCGUCAGCUCGUGUUGUGAAAUGUUGGGUUAAGUCCCGCAACGAGCGCAACCCUUAUCCUUUGUUGCCAGCGGUUCGGCCGGGAACUCAAAGGAGACUGCCAGUGAUAAACUGGAGGAAGGUGGGGAUGACGUCAAGUCAUCAUGGCCCUUACGAGUAGGGCUACACACGUGCUACAAUGGCGCAUACAAAGAGAAGCGACCUCGCGAGAGCAAGCGGACCUCAUAAAGUGCGUCGUAGUCCGGAUUGGAGUCUGCAACUCGACUCCAUGAAGUCGGAAUCGCUAGUAAUCGUAGAUCAGAAUGCUACGGUGAAUACGUUCCCGGGCCUUGUACACACCGCCCGUCACACCAUGGGAGUGGGUUGCAAAAGAAGUAGGUAGCUUAACCUUCGGGAGGGCGCUUACCACUUUUUUAUUAACAGUCC
rnacentral:rRNA from 1 species